rnacentral:rRNA from 1 species
UUCGAACGGUGAACUCGGGCUUCGGCCCGGGGAUCAGUGGCGAACGGGUGCGUAACACGUGGGCAACCUGCCCCAGACACUGGGAUAACUCCGGGAAACCGGGGCUAAUACCGGAUACUCCGGUCGAACCUCAUGGUUCGAUCGGGAAAGCUCCGACGGUCUGGGAUGGGCCCGCGGCCUAUCAGCUUGUUGGCGAGGUAACGGCUCACCAAGGCGACGACGGGUAGCUGGUCUGAGAGGACGACCAGCCACACUGGAACUGAGAUACGGUCCAGACUCCUACGGGAGGCAGCAGUGGGGAAUCUUGCACAAUGGGCGAAAGCCUGAUGCAGCGACGCCGCGUGGGGGACGAAUGCCUUCGGGUUGUAAACCCCUUUCGGCAGGGAAGAAGCGCAAGUGACGGUACCUGCAGAAGAAGUCCCGGCUAACUACGUGCCAGCAGCCGCGGUAAGACGUAGGGGACGAGCGUUGUCCGGAUUCAUUGGGCGUAAAG